GACGAACGCUGGCGGCGUGCCUAAUACAUGCAAGUAGAACGCAGUUGCGAACGGGUGAGUAACGCGUAGGUAACUGCCUCAUAGCGGGGGCUAACUAUUGGAAACGAUAGCUAAUACCGCAUACUGUGAGAUGGACCUGCGUGGUAUUAGCUAGUUGGUGAGGUAAAGGCUCACCAAGGCGACGGUACAUAGCCAGCCUGAGAGGGUGAUUGGGCACACGGGGACGUAGAAACGGCCCGGAUUCCUUCCGGAUGCAGCCGUAGGGAAUCUUCGGAAAUGGACGGAAGUCUGACCGAGCAACGCCGCGUGAGUUAAGAAGGUUUUCGGGUCGUAAAGCUCUGUUGUUAGAGAAGCGUUAACUAACCAGAAAGGGACGGCUAACUACGUGCCAGCAGCCGCGGUAAUAC
rnacentral:rRNA from 1 species